rnacentral:lncRNA from 1 species
CGGAAGUGGCCCUUGCCCCCUGCUCGGUUCCCUGCGAGCGCCGCUGGCUUGGGGGUUUCAUUGUCUGAGGAAUCGGAUACAAGGCUUUGUUCACGGACCCUUAGGGCUCUCAGCGAGGACUGGAAGCCAAGGAGGAGUUUCCAGGCCCUCAGCCCGCCCCGGCCCGCCCCUCGGCUCCCCUGGGACCCGGACACCCCGCUCGCGCUGGAGGCCUCUGAGAGGGCAGCGGGCAAGCACAGGCAGAAUUCUUUGUUAUAUCACUGAAUAAUGGAUGAGGCUGACAGAGAAAAAGAGAAGAGGGAUGUACCUAAAGUAUCUGAAAAUACUAAGAAGGACCGGUUCAAUACCUUCUUCACAGAACUUCG